rnacentral:antisense_RNA from 1 species
GCAGAGGUUGCAGUGAGCUGAAAUCGUGCCAUUGCACUCCAGCCUGGACAACAAGAGCAAAACUCUGUCUCAAAAAAAAAAAAAUUCCCAAUAGAUUUUAAUCUAAUUUUAUUAGAACAAUUCAGUCAUAUGUUUUUUCAUGCUAUGUAUAUGAGAGUUCCAUUAUUCAGUUACUAAACAAAUGUCUACUGUACAUUUACUGUUCUCACUGAUGAUGGAUUAGAUAACCAUGCACAAAAUAAGCCUGGCUGUGGAAAUGCUUAUUUGUUGGGAGGGUGCUUGUUUGGAUCGAUGAUGAGAAUAAUUGUCUGAGGAUGCUGAGGGACUCAUUCCAGAUGUCAAUCUGAGGUCCAGAUAUGUGGCCCUCCAAUAGGACAAAUAAGACUCUCAGAGCCUGGCUCUAUUUGGGGAUCCCUCAGUGACAACAUAGUACCUCUGUGAGCGUGCCUUUUCUAUCUCUCCGAAGAGGGCAUUAGCAUCCUGUCUUAUGAGUCAGUAUGCACUUUAGUAUGGUUAGUGACCCAAGACUCACUUUAUUUUGUUCAUUUUGAGCAGAGAAUUGUAGAUAGAUACAUAUAUGGGAAAUAUGUUCUUGAUUAACAAAUGAAAAAAUGAAAAAGUUUCAGUCAAGAAAGGUCAAGGAACUGUGAUGUAUAGUGAAGGCAGGGAACACUGCAUGCCUGUAUUAAAUAUUGACAAAGGAACCAAUUUUAGUGCUUUGUUAUUUUUACUGUUGAGUAUUUUCUGAGACCAUUUCUUUUUCUUCUAUUUUGUUUUGCUGAGGUAGAGGAGGGCUGGAAUGAGGUCCUCCACUUCAGAAAAUAGGGGUGAGUAGUUAAACCAACAUCCUUUGGAAUUCAUAUACGUCAUGCGUUCCAUGCCACAUCCUGAGGUCUUUUUGUUGAUUUUUUUAGUGGCUUACUGGAUAAUAUCUAAAUACUGUAUAUUUUACUUUGGUGAGUCUCUCCACCUUCAUUUCUGAAUCAUUGUCCUUUACAUUUUUAUUCUAUUUGAAUUUUGCAUGAAAUGACAAAUGUAGAAUUUUGCCCAAUUUAUUUUAUUUAUUCAUUCAUUUAUUUGGGAAGACAAAGUCUCUCUCUGUCACCCAGGCUGGAGUACAUUGGCCCAGUCAGAGCUCACCUCAGCUCUUCACCCUGUAGCCCUUAACUCCUGGGCUCAAGUGAUCCUCCACCCUCAGCCUCCCAAGUAUCUAGGAAUACAGUUGUCAUGGGAGGCCAGCCACCUGCUGGCAAGGAAGAUGGUUGAUUCUUCUGAUCAAUGGAGGCCCUGCAGAGUCCUGUAGUCACUGUGGCCUGGCAUCCAUGGUGCACCCAAUGCUGGUGGAUGGCUUAGGAUGAGGCAGUUGCUGUGGGAGGUGUGGUAACUGCUGGAAGGAAGAUGCUCAAUUCUUCUGAGCAACGAAGGCCUCAUGGAGUCCUGGAUUCUGUGUGGCCUGGCAUCCACGGUGCACUGUGUGCUGGCGGGUGGCUUAGGACGGGGCAGUUAUCAUGGGACACCCGCCAUAUGCUGGCAAGGAAGAUGGUCAGUUCUUCUGAGCCACGAAGGCCCCCAACAUCCUGGAGUUGGUGUGGCCUAGCAUCCACGGUGCGCCCCCUGCUGGUGGAUGGCUCAGGACGGGGCAGUUGCCGUGGGAGGCCCGCUGCCUGCUGGAAGGAAGAUGGUCAGUUCUUCUGAACCACAAAGGCCCUGCAGAGUCCUGGAGUCUGUGUGUCCUGGCUUCCAGGGUUCACCUCAUGCUGGUGGAUUGCUCAGGAUGGGUGCCGAAGGUCUUUAAGGUCGUCAGCUCACCUACUGCCCAGCCUGUGGUGUCAAAUGUCCUGCCUCUUCAAAUGUGUUUGGAUCGAUGAUGAGUCCCCCCAAAAAAACAUUCCUUGGAAAAGCUGAACAAAAUGAGUGAAAACUCAUACCGUCGUUCUCAGCGGAACUGAGGUCCAGCACGUUGCCUCCAGCAGGGACUGUUGGAGUGAGGGACAGCUUCCACUAGUCCCUAUAGGUUCCACCACCCAGGGCAUCUGCAGGGACAGUUGCCGUGGGAGGUCCGCUGCCUGCUGUCGAGGAAGAUGGUCAAUGCUUCUGAGAAACAGGCCCUGCGGGUUCCUGGAUUUGGUGUGGCCUGGCAUCCACGGUGCACCCGGUGCUGGCGGGUGGCCCAGGACGGGGCAGUUGCCUUGAGAGGCCCACCGCCUGCUGGCAUGACAGAUGGUCAGUUCUUCCGAGCAGUGGAAUCUCCAUGGAGUCGUGGAGUCGGUGUGGCCUCGCAUCCACAGUGCACCCCGUGCUGGUGGAUGGCUCAGGACGGGGCAGUUGCCGUGGGAGGCCUGCCGUCUGCUGAAAGGAAGAUGGUUGAUGCUUCUGAGCAAUGAAGGCCCCAUGGAGUCCUGGAUUCGGUGUGGCCUUGCAUCCGUGGUGCACCCCAUGCUGGUGGAUGGCUCAGGACGGGGCAGUUGCCAUGGGAGGCGCAGGCCUGCUGGAAGGAAGAUGGUCGAUUCUCCCAAGCAACAAAGGCCACGUAGAGUCCUGGUUUCAGUGUGGCCUGGUAUCCACAGUGCACCCCAUGCUGGUGGGUGGCUCAGGAUGCACACUCAUUUCCUCUGCACCUUCCCGGUGUCAUUGGCAUGGAAGGAAGGCCCUUGUCCAAGAAGGAUGGUCUUCGUCUUGUGUGAUCUUUGAGAUGCCAUGAGGCCCCUGGAUACAAAUGGUGUGGGCUCCUUUGGAGGCUUUUGGAUUUCUCCUGAAUGUGGCGUUGGUAUGGAAGGAAGGCCAGUGACCGCAAGGGAUGACUUUGAUCUUGGGAGAUUUUUGGAGAUGGCAAAGUGCUUCUAAACAUGUUUGGCGUGGUCUCCUUCAGGCUGAUGGAUACCUCAGGAUGGUGGCAUUGGCAUGGAAGGAAGGACUGUGUCUGUGAGGGAUGAUCAUCCUCUCAUGUGAUCCUUGGAGAUGCCAGGAAGCCCCUUGACACAUGUGGCAUGGGCUCCUUCAGAGGCUUUUGGAUCCGUCGUGAAUGUGGCAUGGGCAUGCAAAGAAAGACAGAGGCUGCAAGGGAUGAACUUCAUCUUGGGAGAUCCCUGGAGAUGGCAGGGAACCCAUGGACACAUGUGGCAUGGGCUCCUUUGGGUGCCGGUGGAUCCCUUCAUAUGGUAAAGCCAGAGUUGGGUAUCAACCAGAUACACUGCAGGGGAUCAGAGGACAUGGCCUUUGUGUACUGCACAUCUGUCAGAUUUUCUCAAGCACACCCGUGUUUCCUCUUCACCUCCCACGUGGAAGUGAUGAAUUGGCCAGGACCAUCUUGGUGAGGGACAAUCAUCAUCUCAUGUUAACCUCAGAGAUGCCAGGAAGCUUCUGGACACACAUGGUGUAGGCUUCCUUGGAGGCUGUUGGAUCUCUCCUGAAUGUAGUGUUGGUGUAAAAGGCAAACCCGUGUCAUGAGGGAUGGUCAUCAUCUCGUGUGAUCGUUGGAGAUGGCAGGAAGCCCUGGACAUACAUGGUGUGGGGGCUCCUCCAGAGGCUGUUGGAAUCCUCCUGGAUGUGGUGUGGGCAUGGAAGGAAGGCCAGUGGAGACAAUGGAUGAUCUUGUUCUUAGCAGAUCACUGGACGUGGCAGGGAGUCCUAGGACAUGUGUGGUGUGGGCUUCUUCAGGUGCUGGUGGUGUUGGCAUGAGGAAAGGAGGUAUCUUCGAGGGACAAUCUUCUUCUUGUGCGAUCCUUGGAGAUGCCAUGAGGCCCCUGGACACAUGUGGUGUGGGCUCCUUUGGAGGCUGUUGUAUCCCUUCUGAAUGUGGCGUGGGCAUAGAAGGAAGGCCAGUGGCCAUGAGGGACAAUCUUGGUCUUGGGAGAUCCUGGAAAUGAUAGGGAGUCCCUUGAUAUGUGUGGCAUGGGCUCCUUCAGGUGCUAGUGGAUUCCUUAGGAUGGUGGUGUUGGCAUGAAAGGCAGGCUUGUAUCAUGAGGAAUGAUUGUCAUCUUGUAUGAUUCUUGGAGAUGGCAGGAAGCCCCUGGAAACACAUGGUGUGGACUCCUUCACAGGCUGUUGAAACCCUCCUGAAUGUAAGUGAUUUCAUUCCAAAGCACCCUGAGUUUCCUCAUUUGCAGGGAUGAAACCUGUGCGUGGAUCGAUGAUGACUUCCAUAUAUACAUUCCUUGGAAAGCUGAACAAAAUGAGUGAAAACUCUAUACCGUCAUCCUCGUCGAACUGAGGUCCAGCACAUUACUCCAACAGGGGCUAGACAGAGAAGGCCAACAUCCGUUUGUUGACAUGGGUUAUACCAAGGCGUCUGUUCAGGCUUAGAAUGUGGUCUCUUAUGGGUGAUGGGGGUCACAGGAGAGUGGUGGCUCCCACGUAUAGGAAAUUUCUUGUUUGAAGGACUGUCAGUGAGGGUGGGUAACACAUGCAUUGUCUGCAGGACUAGGUGAAUGUCCAUGUGGCCUAGCAAGAGUUCGCUGGUAGCCCGCCUCUGGUUGCCAAUUUGUUCUUGAGUUCUUGUUCUGGGUUCUCAGGUUCCACAGAGGAAAACAGAUCUGUGUGGUUGAGAGGUGGGUACAAGGCCGCAUCUUUGUCAUUUGUUGGCUAACUUUGUCCUUGGUUGAGGACAUUAGAGUUUUGGUCACCAGGCAUAGUCUAUGUGCCUUUGUGCCCGUGUUGUAUCCCAUGUGUUUUGAGGACAUGUAUUUUGCACGUAAGGGUGAGCUCCUGCUCAUUGCUUCUGAUACCCAAGGAGUCCCUGGCUUAUCCUAAACCCAAUAUAGGUUAAAGCCUUUCUCAUUAGGGGCCCAGGGUCCCAAGGCUUUUGUGAGUAUCAUUGUAGGUAUUGAAGCAACGAUGUUGAGAAGGAUGCUGAACAUGCUCUUUAGUGGGAUGAUGUACUCUGAAGGCUCCUGACCCCCAGACGAGCAUCCUUGUGUCCAUGCACUUCUGUGUUUAUGAACAGGUGAGGCCAGAGACAGGCAGACAGCAGAUGUAUUGCAGGGAGCUGGAUGACAUGGCCCUUGGAACCUGUGCACAUGCCUGCCUUUCUGAUGCACGUCCAUGUUUUCUCUGCACCUCCCCGGUGGUGUUGGUAUAAAAAGCAGGCUUACAUCAGCAAGGGAUGAUUGUCAUCUCAUGCGAUCCUGGGAGAUGGCAGAAGUCCCGGGACACAUGGAGUGUGGGCUCUUUCGGAGGCUGUUGGAUCCCUCCUGAAUGUAAGUGAUUCCUUCUUAAAGAAUGCUGAUUUUCCUCAUUUGCAGGGGCAAGGACUGGAUCGAUGACGACUUCCAUAUGUACUUUCCUUGGAAAGCUGAACAAAAUGAGUGAAAACUCUAUACCGUCAUCCUCGUGUGUUGUGGCCAUGGAAGUAAGGCCAGUGGCUACGAGGGACAGUCUUCAUCUUGGGAGAUCCCUAGAGAGGGCAGGGAGCCCCUUGACAUGUGGAAUGUGGUCUCCGUUGGGUGCUGGUGGAUCCCACAGGUGGUCUGGCAUGGAAGAAGUCCAGAGGCUGCGAUGGAUCAUCUUUGUCUUGGGAGAUUCCUGGAGAUGGUGGGGAGCCCCUGGGCACGUGCAGCAUAUGUGGCGUGGGCUUCUUCAGGUGCUGGUGGAUCCCUCAGGAUGCUUUUCAAGGUUUUUCUAUGAGUUCUGUUAAAGAGUCUGAAAAUGGAGCGUAGAAGACAUGCUUCGAUUUCCAGGAUGGUUGUGUUUUCCAGAGAGGCGAAGGUAAACCAUUGGCGCAGCCCUGCCUCCCACAGAUAAUUCCGGGUGCAGUGUUUCAUAUCUAGACUUGGACUUCUAUCCUACCAUACUUCUUUGUGUGCAGUUCAUUGUGGAACCAGCACAGAUUUUCAUACGAAAGUUAUUUCUUUUUAACCUCAAAAAGUGACAGAAUGGAGUGUAUCAUGAAAAAGUCUGACAUCAAAACCUCAAAAUGUGAUAUUGAUUGGGUGAGAUAGAAUUCCAUGGAAUUUCAUUGCCAAACCAGUGAAGUGCUAAUUUUGACAUUUGUACCAGCUAACGUAGCCGUGAAGAAACACACCAAUACACUUCUAAGGACAGCAUAGACCAAGAUCUAGGUUUCAUAUGGAUGAAUUUAUUCUUCCCUUUGAGGCAAGACAAGAAGGAAAGAAAGUAUUGGGAAUAAUGCUGCCCUCCCAUCCUCAAGGGCCAGUGGGAACUCUAAUAUUGGUAAGCCUUUUGUCCUGAAAAUACCAGCAUUUCCUCUUAGGGAAUCAUAACACUCUGCUAACCGUGAGACUCUGGCUAUGCUAGUCCGCCAUGGGCUGGUCACUGACUGUGAUCCUGGUCUCCAUGAUUGAAUAGUGUGGUCCAGUGUGUCUCAGAGUGACAGAUGUGCUCAGUGUCUGCCACAUAUCUCAGACUCAAGGUCCCUUUUAUAAAUGUGCCUGGAUCGAUGAUGACUAUAAAAAAAAUGGAUCUCAUCGGAAUCUGAACAAAAUGAGUGACCAAAUCAUUUCUGUGCCACUUCUGUGAGCUGAGGUCCAGCACUGGGACCAUGCCAGGCAAACAUGAGGAGGGAGUUUACAGGGACUAGGGUAUUGGAAAACUAACCUACCCAUAUAUAUUAGAGCAAAUGAAUUGUUCUCAGUUCUGUAAAUAUCCAGCUGUGGUUUGACAUAGCAACUCUCUUUGUAUUUGCUUGGCAGCAUUUAUAGAAACAGCUGGUAGACCCUGGGGAACCAGGGCAUAGUGAGAUUCAUGGGACGUUAUUUCACCUACUCUUGAGCCAUUCACACAUUUGAGCUCGCAGAAUUAUCUGGUCGAUGAUCAGUCUCUUGAGGAUAAUGAGAUGGUCAACAUCCAAAUCCAAAGAUACUAAUGAGAUUUUACUUUUUUUUUUGAGGUGGAGUCUCAUUCUGUUGCCCAGGCUGGAGUGCAGUGGCAUAAUCUCGGCUCACUGCAACCUCCACCUCCUGGGUUCAAGAGAUUCUCCCGCCCCAGCAUCCUGAGUAGCUGGGAUUACAGGCGCCCGCCACCACCCCUGGCUAAUUUUUGUAUUUGUAGUAGAGAUGGAGUUUCACCAUAUUGGCCAAGCUGGUCUCGAACUCCCAACCUCAGGUGAUCCAGCCACCGCAGCCUCCCAAAGUGUUGGGAUUACAGGCAUGAGCCACCGUGCCCGGCCUUACUUUUUAUUUUCAAUUAAGUGAAACAAUUACAUGGAAAUUGAAAAAAAAAAAGGUACUCUAAGUAGACUACUCUAGUGUAUUUUAAUUUUCUUGCCAAUUCAGCCACUAGGAUUGUGUCACUUGUUUUUUUGAUUUUAGUUUUUCGUAUCAAAAAGCAAACCACUGUUUAUAUUUGAGUGCUGGUUUCAACUGUAUGCUGCCUCAAAUAAACUUAGAUUAUAUUACAAAUUCUUUUUUACAUAGAUUUCAUUGGCUAUAUUCAUAUAUCCUCAAAGGUUUCCAUUGUGUUUGAAGAGGUAUCCUAAUUGUAAUAAAUGCUUUUGACUGGGGAUGCCAGGGAAGCUUUGAGACUAAUGUCUCAGAUUUUUUUUAAAAAAGUUUAUAUUCUAUAGUGAUCAAAGAUGUAAGAAUAAUUUUUCUUGUCAUUCAUUGGAUAGUCCAGUGAGUGUCUACUGUGAAUUCUUAUAUUCACUUGUAACUAAACAUUCCAUUUGGCAAAUUUCGUUUCAUAACUUCCCUAAUUUCCUCUACACUUUGUAGAUUGGGUGAGAUACAAUUCCAUGGAAUUUUACCACUGAACCAGUGGAGGGCUAAUUUUGUCAUUUGUACCAGUUAACUAACUUGGGAGGAAACAGAACAACACACUCCUGAGGUAGUAUCCAAUUUUUAGUAAAUUUAUUUUUAUUAUUUUUCAAACUGUCAGUGAUUUGGUUUGGUGAACAAUAGGUUAAUACAGACAAUGUUAGGAAUUAUUAAUCUGAUGCGCUAUCUGAAGCAUCAGUUUCCUUUAUUUUUAAGAUUUUUUUCUUCUCUGUAGUUUGGAUAACAUUUAAAACAUUACCAAGAGUUUAUAAAUUAGUAUAUUUUCUAUGCUGAUUAAUAAUGAAACCUUUUGUCUUAUACAAAUUUUUAAAAAAUGGACGUGUGUGUGCAUGUGUAUAUAUAUAUAUAUAUAUAUAUAUAAUCUCUUCUCACAAGAUGAUGCAGACUAAAACUGCAUUUUACAUUUUAUAUGGCUAAGUUUAUUGUUUCCUUGUGUUGUAAUAUGAUGGAAAGUAAUGGGAAUAAUUCUGCUUCCUGUCCUUAGGGACCAGUAGGAAUUUUCCCAUGAUAAGCAUUUUGUCCUUAAAAUACUGACAUCCUGUUAAGAGAUCAUGACACUCCAAUGACCAUGAGACCCUGGCUAUGCUAGUCAGCCAGGGGGCUGACCAUUGACAGUGAUGCUGGUCUCCAUGAUUAAAUAGUGUGGGUCAGCAUGUCCCAGGGUGACAGAAAGCUGUGUGAUCAGUGUCUGUCACAUAUCUCAGACUCAGGGUUCCUUUUUAAAAUGUGCCUGGAUCGAUGAUGACUUAAAGAUUUAUCUAAUUUAAAUCUGAACAAAAUGAGUGACCAAAACACUUCUGUACCACUUCUGUGAGCUGAGGUCCAGCACAGAGACCACUCCAGUCAAACAUGUGUUGCCUGGAGUUGCAACUAGUUGGUCAGUUAGAAGCAACCACAGGGACUGGGGUAUUUGAAAACCACUUGAGUGCAUUUAUUAGAGGAAACGAAUUUUACAUUUGUGUAUAAAAAUUCAAUUGUAGGGUAAAAUGGAAACUCUGAGAGUUUGGUUGGCGGCAUCUAUAUACCAUAGAAACAGAGCCUGGGAAGCAGAACAGUGAGACCCAAGAGAAAUGUUCCUGCCUAUACUUGGUCUGUUAUCACAUUUGCCUGAGCUACUGAUUGACCUUUUGAGGGUGAUGAGAUGGUCAAAAUCCAAGGAUAUGAUGAGUUUUUACUUCUCAUUUUCUUUUUUUUUUUAUUAUACUUUAAGUUUUGGGGUACAUAUGCAGAACGUGCAGUUUUGUUACAUUGGUAUACACGUGCCAUGGUGGUUUGCUGCACCCAUCAACCCAUCAUCUACAUUAGAUUGGUUUUCACAGAAUUCCAUGGACUUUAACUGCUGAAGUAAUGAUGUGCUGAUUUUGUCAUUUGUACCAGCUAACUCAUCUGGGAGGCAACAAAACAAUACUCUCCUGAGGUUAAUGUGGACCAAAAACUAGAUUUCAUAUAAAAGAGUUUAUUCCUUCUACUUGAGGUGUGACAUGAAGGAAAGUAAUGGAAAUAAUUCUGCCCUCCCAUUCUCAAGGGCCAGGGGGAAUUCAAAUAUUGAACGGAAGUGAUUUUGGAAUUGCAUGGAAUUCUCACUGCCAUCCCAAAGAAAUGCUGAUCUUGUCACUCUUACCUGUUUCAUUCCCUGGGGCAGAACAAAAGGACGCACUCCAAAGAUGGGCAUGAACCAAGAACUGGGUUUCAUAUAAAAUAUUUUAUUCUGUCCUCUUGAGAUGUGACAUGAGAAAAGUAUUGAGAAUACUUCUAUCACCUCAUCUUCAAGAAUCCGUAGGAAUUCUCCCAUGGUGGACUUUAUGGUUAACCUGAACAGGUCUUGGAAAAAGGACUUUAAACAUUCUCCUGUUCUGUGGAAUAAGUAUACUUUUUUCUGGACAUACACGUUGUCAGUGAGUUCCAUGUGAUACUAGAGUUGCAUAGAUUUUUAACCUUUACGCCAAUGAAGAUCUGAGGCAAACAUUGCCCCUUUUUUAGAAGUUUGCAUUUGUCACUGAUAACUGUAAUAAUUGAUCUUGUUGAAAAGCCUGGGAAAUGAAGAUCUGAUACGUCACUUUUACCGGCUUCCUCAACUGAAAAAGAAUACAAUGAAACACGCUGAGAAUUUUUGUGCUUUCUCAGUCUUGCUGAUGAUCUUUCUAUGGGCCUGAAGCGUGGAGAGUGCCAGAGAGGCUGAUCCUCAGCAGUGUGGCAGAGGAAAGUUGGGUGCGACUAAGGGGUAUGCGGUGCCCAAAUGCCACUGGGUCCUCAGCAGUACCACCUGAUUGGAAGUGAUAUUGGUGGAAGACAACAUUUUGCCGCUUGGAAUUCUCACCUCCACACCAAAGAAGUACUGUUUUUGUCAUUUGCACCAGCUUCUUUCUCCAGGAAAGAUCAAAACGAUGCACUGCAAGUGUGGUUGGUCCAGAUAGCUGCCUUAUCCAACUGCCUCCUUUGGACCACUUCAUCAUGGGACAGCUUGAUGCAAUCUACUUGACAAGACCCUGGAACCCCACACCCCUCAUGGAACCAGUGUCCACCUCCCAGUCACAGUGUGACCCCAGGGAACUCUUGCCUGCUUGCUUUAAACCCACCACUUAAAAGUCUCCACAGAAAACCUGUUUGAAUAGUACCUUUGACCCAAUAAGGGCAUUGGCCCAUGGGUGUCUCUCUCUCUCUCUCUCCCUCUCUCUCUCUCUCGCUCCCUGACCUCUGCGUGUGGACUCCAGGCAUGCCAUAUACCCCUCAGGACCUGAAGCAAGAGAAUGAAUUAAAGAAAACUCCAGAGAAUGAGCUGACAACCUACUCCCUGGUCACUGGCUCUCCAUGCCUACCUGUGGUCUCUUGGACACCCUUGCAGAAGAUGACUUCCUGGGAACUCUUCUGGGAGUGAAUGUUAUCAGCAAAUUCCCAAAACAACACCCCUUAGACAAAAAGCCUCCUCACCUAUGCAUUGCCUAGACCACCCACUAAAGGUGAUGGCCACAAAGAGGUGGAUUUGUUGAGUUGGUGCCAUUCCUUCUACUGCCAGCUUCACCAAAACAAUGACACAGUCUUCCUUCUGCAUGGAGACUCUUCUCUUUCCUGUGUUGCAGUGGAUGCCUCCUGCAGAUAAGAAAUGCUUAACUGAGAAAUGCUCAUGUUGGGAUAUCAUCGAUGAGACUUUAAUUUGGGCAUGGUGACUGUUUCCCUUGCUGCCACUUGACUCAAUCCCAGGAGCCUCAGUAGAGGAUAUAAUAUUACACAAGAUGCUCAAAAUGGUGGAAUUGCUCAGUGCUCCCAUAAAUAUACAUUUAUAAUUUUCAUUUGCCACAUGGUAAACUGAAAAAUACAGACUAUAUUAAAAAGAAACUGCAUGAUUUUUUUUCAAAAAUUCAAAGCAUAUUUAAAUAAUAUAUAAAUUAAAUGCCCUCCUCUCUUCCAAUUCUGUCCCUAUACUUUUCCUCUAUUAAGUGAACUACAUGCAUUCUUUUAGUGGAUAGAUGCACACAAACACACAAGCCAUUAUGGGGAAGGAUCCACGUGUGUGGCCAUAUUGUAACACAUUUUUCUGCAAAUUACCUCUUUCAUUUAACAGCCCUUAUUCAAUGGCCUUUUUCUUUUUCAGUAGUACAUACACAUCUGUGUCAUUUGUUGAAUGACGACAUGAAUGUUUUGUAGAUAAAAUAUAAUUAAAUGUUUUAAGCAUUUCUCACUCAUAGAUAUUUAUGUUAGCACCAAAUUUCUGUGCAAUGAACCUCCCUAUAUAUCAGUAAUUUUGCAUUUGUCUAUAAUAUCAUAAUAAAUUACUUAUCAGUUGAAUUACUGGGAUUAAGUAUGUGCACACUUUAUAUUUAUAUUUUGAAAAUUAUUGCAAGAUUGCCUUCAAAAAUGUGGUUAACAACUUUAUCUUCAAAUGGCAAUGAAUGAGAUUGCCAGCUUUCCUACAACCUCACAGACAAUGGAUUUUAUAAAUAUUUAACAUUUUUGCCAAUGUGAUCACCCAAACUAUUGUCUUAAAUUGUAUUUCUUUUGUUUUUGAGUUUGGUCAUUUUUUCAUGUUUAUUAGCCAUCUGUAUUUUUUAAUUUCUUCUUUAUGUCCAAUUUUGUGGGUGGGAGGAGGAUUUAGUCUCUUCCUGAUUUCGAAGAGCUCAUUUACUAUUUCGGGAAAUAAGAUUUGGAUUGUCAACCAUUAUAGCUAUUUUUUACACACUUUUCAACUUUGUUUUUGUUAUAAGAAUGUGUAUGAUUGUUACAUGUCCAAGUAUAACCAUGUUCGCUUUUAUGGCUUCUGAGUUUCAUGUCAUUUUUGGAAAGAUAUAUAUAUUGAGUCCAUAAAACCCUUCACCUAUGUUAAAUUUGAA